CUACGGAGGGUGCGAGCGUUAUCCGGAUUUAUUAGGUUUAAAGGGUGUGUAGGCGGUAUUUUAAGUCAGUGGUGAAAUCUUUCAGCUUAACUGAGAAACUGCCAUUGAUACUGGAAUACUUGAGUAUAGUUGAGGUAGGCGGAAUAUGUAAUGUAGCGGUGAAAUGCAUAGAUAUUACAUAGAACACCGAUUGCGAAGGCAGCUUACUAAACUAUUACUGACGCUGAUGCACGAAAGCGUGGGGAGCGAACAGGAUUAGAUACCCCAGUAGUCC
rnacentral:rRNA from 1 species